GACGAACGCUGGCGGCGUGCUUAACACAUGCAAGUCGAACGGAAAGGCCCUGCUUUUGUGGGGUGCUCGAGUGGCGAACGGGUGAGUAACACGUGAGUAACCUGCCCUUGACUUUGGGAUAACUUCAGGAAACUGGGGCUAAUACCGGAUAGGAGCUCCUGCUGCAUGGUGGGGGUUGGAAAGUUUCGGCGGUUGGGGAUGGACUCGCGGCUUAUCAGCUUGUUGGUGGGGUAGUGGCUUACCAAGGCUUUGACGGGUAGCCGGCCUGAGAGGGUGACCGGCCACAUUGGGACUGAGAUACGGCACAGACUCCUACGGGAGGCAGCAGUGGGGAAGAUUGCACAAUGGGCGGAAGCCUGAUGCAGCAACGCCGCGUGCGGGAUGACGGCCUUCGGGUUGUAAACCGCUGUCGCCUGUGACGAAGCGUGAGUGACGGUAAUGGGUAAAGAAGCACCGGCUAACUACGUG
rnacentral:rRNA from 1 species